rnacentral:rRNA from 1 species
CUACGGGCCGCAGCAGUGAGGAAUCUUCCGCAAUGGGGGCGACCCUGACGGAGCGACACCGCGUGAAGGAUGACGCCUUAUUCGGGUGUAAACUUCUGUUCUGAGGGACGAAAUUUUUGACGGUACCUCAGGAGAAAGCACCGGCUAAUUCCGUGCCAGCAGCCGCGGUAAGACGGAAGGUGCAAGCGUUACUCGGAAUUACUGGGCGUAAAGCGUCCGCAGGCCUUUUUGUCAGUCUGGUGUAAAAGCAUGGAGCUCAACUCCGUGUCUGUGCCGGAAACUGCAGAAAUAGAGUCACUCAGAGGCAUCUGGAAUGCCGUGUGUAGGGGUAAUAUCCGUUGAUCCACGGUAGAACGCCAAAAGCGAAAGCAGGAUGCUGGGAGUGUACUGACGCUCAGGGACGAAAGCGUGGGGAGCGAAGGGGAUUAGAUACCCCGGUAGUC